UACGAAGGGGGCUAGCGUUGCUCGGAAUCACUGGGCGUAAAGCGCACGUAGGCGGACUUUUAAGUCGGAGGUGAAAUCCUGGAGCUCAACUCCAGAACUGCCUUCGAUACUGAGAGUCUUCGAGUUCGGGAGAGGUGAGUGGAACUGCGAGUGUAGAGGUGAAAUUCGUAGAUAUUCGCAAGGAACACCAGUGGCGAAGGCGGCUCACUGGCCCGAUACUGACGCUGAGGUGCGAAAGCGUGGGGAGCAAACAGG
rnacentral:rRNA from 1 species